GUCCGGACUCCAUACCUCUCGACUUCCCAUAUUUAAGCAGCAAAUUCGCUGUUGUAUGGAAUGUAAAGAAGUAUGGAGCCUUGAC
rnacentral:pre_miRNA from 1 species